AUGCCUCUCUCCGCCGCCGGCUCCAUGCCCUCUUGCUCUCUCUCUGGUUGGCCGCCUCUCUCCAACAUCCCUGGCCUAACCUCCCCAUCUCCACCGUACAGCUCACGAAGACACACGCAGUGGCAGGUUUGGAUUGGGGCAGCGUGCGCCUGGUCAAGGGCAUCCCUCUCUGUCUUUGGCUGGGCAGGGGCACCGAAGCGGCUGAGGAUGGAAAAUGGUAAGCGCAAGCGGAAAGCUAAAGAUGGUGGGGUCACGGAGGAACAACUGAAAGUGGUAGAGUAUAAACUACAGAGAAGUAGGACCAUAGAAGAAAAUGAAGUAAGUCAUUCUGCUAAAUCAAAACUGUAG
rnacentral:rRNA from 1 species